rnacentral:rRNA from 1 species
AUUGAACGCUGGCGGCAGGCUUAACACAUGCAAGUCGAGCGGAGAUGAGGUGCUUGCACCUUAUCUUAGCGGCGGACGGGUGAGUAAUGCUUAGGAAUCUGCCUAUUAGUGGGGGACAACAUUCCGAAAGGAAUGCUAAUACCGCAUACGCCCUACGGGGGAAAGCAGGGGAUCUUCGGACCUUGCGCUAAUAGAUGAGCCUAAGUCGGAUUAGCUAGUUGAUGGGGUAAAGGCCUACCAAGGCGACGAUCUGUAGCGGGUCUGAGAGGAUGACCCGCCACACUGGGACUGAGACACGGCCCAGACUCCUACGGGAGGCAGCAGUGGGGAAUAUUGGACAAUGGGCGGAAGCCUGAUCCAGCCAUGCCGCGUGUGUGAAGAAGGCCUUUUGGUUGUAAAGCACUUUAAGCGAGGAGGAGGCUACCUGGAUUAAUACUCUAGGAUAGUGGACGUUACUCGCAGAAUAAGCACCGGCUAACUCUGUGCCAGCCGCCGCGGUAAAAC